UACGGGGGGGGCAAGCGUUGUUCGGAAUUACUGGGCGUAAAGGGCUCGUAGGCGGCCAACUAAGUCGGAUGUGAAAUCUCCGGGCUUAACUCGGAAAGGUCAACUGAUACUGCGGGGCUAGAGUGCGGAAGGGGCAACUGGAAUUCUCGGUGUAGCGGUGAAAUGCGUAGAUAUCGAGAGGAACACCUGCGGCGAAGGCGGGUUGCUGGGCUGACACUGACGCUGAGGCGCGAAAGCUAGGGGAGCGAACAGG
rnacentral:rRNA from 1 species